rnacentral:rRNA from 1 species
GCUGUAAACGAUGCUCGCUAGGUGUGGCACUGGCUACCAGCCAGUGCUGUGCCGUAGGGAAGCCGAGAAGCAAGCCGCCUGGGAAGUACGUCCGCAAGGAUGAAACUUAAAGGAAUUGGCGGGGGAGCACUACAACCGGAGGAGCCUGCGGUUUAAUUGGACUCAACGCCGGACAUCUCACCAGCACCGACAGUGUGCGAUGAAGAUCAGUGUGAUGAGCUUAUUGGAGCCACUGAGAGGAGGUGCAUGGCCGCCGUCAGCUCGUACCGUGAGGCGUCCUGUUAAGUCAGGCAACGAGCGAGACCCGCAUCCUUAAUUGCCAGCAGUACCCUU